rnacentral:rRNA from 1 species
UACAGAGGUCCCAAGCGUUGUUCGGAUUCACUGGGCGUAAAGGGUGCGUAGGUGGCGAGGUAAGUGGGAUGUGAAAUCUCCGAGCUCAACUCGGAAAUGGCAUUGGAAACUACCUUGCUCGAGGGUUGGAGGGGGGACUGGAAUGCUUGGUGUAGCAGUGAAAUGCGUAGAUAUCAAGCGGAACACCACUGGCGAAGGCGAGUCCCUGGACAACUCCUGACACUGAGGCACGAAAGCUAGGGGAGCAAACAGG